GUUGCAAUCUGCUUAGCCCCACUGUCAGCGGAUUGCUCGAUGGUAACCAUGGCUGUAUUUAAAAUAAAAGAUGUAGGUGUGCAAAUAAUCCCUUUAAAAAGUGUCAGUGCAGGAAACGUGACAAUGUAUCUGGAAUUCCCAGAGAUAGACACUUAAAAUCUAUUGGUGACACAAAAAAGUUCUGCCAAUGUCACACUGUGAAAGAGUACAUAGUCUUAUGUAAUGAAACAAAAUUGUAUCAAAAAUCUAUAAUACAUAAACAUUAACACAGACCUAGUGCAAUAUAGCCAGAACACAGUAUAGAAA